UGUGGGAUCUUCCCAGACCAGGGCUCCAACCGGUGUCCCAGGCAGUAGCAGGUCAAGAAGCCUGUAAUUCUCCAAGUGAUCUCUGAACCUUAUUUAAUGCAGCAAACCACAGAAGGAGCUGAGCUAAACAGUGUCUGCAAGUUGGAAAGUAAUAACUUUCCUCAUCCCUUCCCAUUCACCACAGGAUGAAUGAAAUGGCUGGGUGGAACUUUACUCACAACCUCUUGUACGCAGACGACUAGGAAGGAAGCUGGAGGCUUAGAGGUGAAGGUGAACGGGAACGAGUCACAGAAGAGACAGGAAGUGACAACAAGCCUAAUCGUCAGCAGCUGAGCAUGAUGACUGCAUGUUUCUGAACAGACGACAGUGGGGAAGGGUAACUACCACCUCAACUUCAGGAUAUGGUUCCUGGAGUCUCCAUUGCACAAUAAAACUGAUAUA